UACGAGGGGGGCGAGCGUUGUUCGGAAUUAUUGGGCGUAAAGGGUGCGUAGGCGGCCUGACAAGUCUGAUGUGAAAUCCCUGGGCUCAACCCAGGGCCUGCAUCGGAAACUGUCGGGCUUGAGUAUGGGAGAGGUGAGUGGAAUUUCCGGUGUAGCGGUGAAAUGCGUAGAUAUCGGGAGGAACACCAGUGGCGAAGGCGACCACCUGGGGAUGUUCUGACGCUGAGGAGCGAAAGCUAGGGGAGCAAACGGG
rnacentral:rRNA from 1 species